rnacentral:rRNA from 1 species
CACGUAGGGGGCAAGCGUUGUCCGGAAUCAUUGGGCGUAAAGAGCUCGUAGGCGGCUCAGUAAGUCGGGUGUGAAACCUCCAGGCUCAACCUGGAGACGCCACCCGAUACUGCUGUGGCUAGAGUCCAGUAGGGGAGUGUGGAAUUCCCGGUGUAGCGGUGAAAUGCGCAGAUAUCGGGAGGAACACCAGCGGCGAAGGCGGCACUCUGGGCUGGUACUGACGCUGAGGUGCGAAAGCGUGGGGAGCAAACAGG